AUUUAAGUAGUUUAAAAUAAAACAUUAAUUUGUGGAAUUAAAAAUAUAUUAUUAAAAGGUAUCUUAAAUU
rnacentral:tRNA from 1 species